rnacentral:rRNA from 1 species
UACGAGGGGAGCUAGCGUUGUUCGGAAUUACUGGGCGUAAAGCGCGCGUAGGCGGUUUUUUAAGUCAGAGGUGAAAGCCCGGGGCUCAACUCCGGAACUGCCUUUGAAACUGGAAAGCUAGAAUCUUGGAGAGGUCAGUGGAAUUCCGAGUGUAGAGGUGAAAUUCGUAGAUAUUCGGAAGAACACCAGUGGCGAAGGCGACUGACUGGACAAGUAUUGACGCUGAGGUGCGAAAGCGUGGGGAGCAAACAGG